ensembl:lncRNA
UAAAAACAUGCAGAGUUUAAAAUUGAGGACAUUAAAGAAAGAUAGACACAAACUCUGCCCACAGCGAUGGCAGCAAUUUAAGAAGGUUGCUGAAGAAGAGGACCUCAAAGAGAGCACAUCCACAAUGAAGAACCAAAGCAGAGUGUUAUUCUGCCCAAUAACAAAGCAUGACUGUUGGGCUUAAAGACAGAGGUCAAGGUGUGUUCAACCAGCUGUCUGAGCUACUGCAUCUCUUGAGUUUCGCUGAGCUUUGCAAAUAACAAGAAUGAAGGGAGUGACAGCUCUGUUUGUCUAAACCAAGAUGCUGAUUUUAUGCCUGCAUCUUUGCUGUGCACUACAAAAUGGAAAGUGCAACUUUACAGUGGCAAUGGUGCAUACUGCUGGAAAAGUCACUUGCUUCAAGAUGAUGGAUGGACAUGUCCCAAUUUGCAUGUCUGGUGGUCAAACAUCUCAAUCAUGUGACAUUGCGUACAAAGAUGGGAUGACGUGUAUAAAGUGGCCAGCAGACAUCGAACUCACAUGUGUGAACGAUUCUGAUGAGAUGCAUAAGCUCAAUAUUGAAGAAAACAAGUGUGCCCAUGACCAAGAAUCUAUUAGUUGCAAUGGAGAGUACAAAUCUGAGCUUAGAAAUUCUGCAUCAACCCUGUCAUUGAGCAUUCUUCUAAUUACUACCAUUGUCCACUGGGUGUCACUAUGGCACUACUAAUAUAGUAAUAUAGUGUAUAGUUCUGAGACACAUUACUCAAACUUAAAAAUAAUAAUAACAAUAAUAAUGUGUUCGAAUAAACCAUUUUUAUAUAUAUAUAAAAAAACUAUGCAAUACUCAAUAAAAAUAAAAAUUUACAUUUUCACUUCAUAUAUACAUACAGUCAUGGCCAAAAGUUUUGGCAGUGACAUAAAUUUUGUGUUUUGCAAAGUUUGCUGCUUAAACUGUUGUGGUGUUCAUUCGCAUUGUUUCUAGAUUAUUGUGUAGAUUGAUCAGAUGCAUUUUAAAUUAAUUGCUAAAAGCUUAAUUGGCCAAAAAAAAUUACUUCAAAUUUCACAGUUUUUUUGGUAAACAUGGCCUUGUCCCAACUUUUUUGAGAUGUGUUGAUUUAAAAUCAACUUAUUUUUCCCUUAAAAUUAUACAUUUUCUCAGUUUAAACAUUUGAUAUGUCAUCUAGGUUGUAUUCUAAAUAAAAUAUUGAAAUUUGAAACUUCCACAUCAUUGCAUUCUGUUUUUAUUCACAAUUUGUACAGUGUCCCAACUUUUUUGGAAUCGGGUUUGUACAAGGAUUGGACAGCAGAAGACUGGUGCAAAGUUAUUUUCUCUGAUAAAGCUUCUCUCCGACUGUUUGGGACAUCUGGAAAAAGGAUUGUUCGGAGAAGAAAAGGUGAACGCGAGUCCUGUGUUGUGCCAAAAGUGAAG